UACGUAGGGUGCAAGCGUUAAUCGGAAUUACUGGGCGUAAAGCGUGCGCAGGCGGCUUUGCAAGACAGAUGUGAAAUCCCCGGGCUCAACCUGGGAACUGCAUUUGUGACUGCAUGGCUAGAGUACGGUAGAGGGGGAUGGAAUUCCGCGUGUAGCAGUGAAAUGCGUAGAUAUGCGGAGGAACACCGAUGGCGAAGGCGACUUCCUGGACCAAUACUGACGCUCAGGUGCGAAAGCGUGGGGAGCAAACAGG
rnacentral:rRNA from 1 species